GGAGAGGGCUGGUGGUG
rnacentral:miRNA from 1 species